GACGAACGCUGGCGGCGUGCCUAAUACAUGCAAGUUGAGCGCUGAAGGUUGGUACUUGUACCAACUGGAUGAGCAGCGAACGGGUGAGUAACGCGUGGGGAAUCUGCCUUUGAGCGGGGGACAACAUUUGGAAACGAAUGCUAAUACCGCAUAAAAACUUUAAACACAAGUUUUAAGUUUGAAAGAUGCAAUUGCAUCACUCAAAGAUGAUCCCGCGUUGUAUUAGCUAGUUGGUGAGGUAAAGGCUCACCAAGGCGAUGAUACAUAGCCGACCUGAGAGGGUGAUCGGCCACAUUGGGACUGAGACACGGCCCAAACUCCUACGGGAGGCAGCAGUAGGGAAUCUUCGGCAAUGGACGAAAGGCUGACCGAGCAACGCCGCGUGAGUGAAGAAGGUUUUCGGAUCGUAAAACUCUGUUGGUAGAGAAGAACGUUGGUGAGAGUGGAAAGCUCAUCAAGUGACGGUAAAUACCCAGAAAGGGACGGCUAACUACGUG
rnacentral:rRNA from 1 species